GAAAUCUUACCAGGUCCGGACACACUGAGGAUUGACAGGAAGUAUCGUCUUUUGAAAUCUUUAAGUACAUGUCGUUUCUAAUGACAUCUUUUAGAUGAAUGAUUCGUGUAAAUAUGCUAGUUCUUUCAUGAUUAUGUGAUAGGUGGUGCAUGGCCGUUCUUAGUUCGUGGAGUGAUCUGUCUGCUUAAUUGCGUUUCACUAUGGCCCCAAAGUUAGCAAGUUAUCCAAUCAUGACCUUCGUCGACCCCUCACCUUUGAGUGCGCGUCCUAGCUUAGAGUACAUGGUGUAAAUGGACUUGUUUUGGGUACCCAGAAAGCAACGAACGUGACCGCAACGUCUUGUUGUCUCUCUUUUGACAGUUAUGGGUUAUCCCAGUCAUGUGUUUAUGCUUUUAUGUGUAAAUACGUACGACACAGAGACUAGAUACCAAACUAGGCGUACCGCUGUAUCAUUUCUUUAAACCAGAGGAAGGUUGCGGCAAUAACAGGUC
rnacentral:rRNA from 1 species